UACGUAGGCAGCAAGCGUUGUUCGGAGUUACUGGGCGUAAAGGGUGUGUAGGCGGUUGCUUAAGUUUGGUGUGAAAUCUCCCGGCUCAACUGGGAGGGUGCGCCGAAUACUGAGUGACUCGAGUGCGGGAGAGGAAAGUGGAAUUCCUGGUGUAGCGGUGAAAUGCGUAGAUAUCAGGAGGAACACCGGUGGUGUAGACGGCUUUCUGGACCAUAACUGACACUGAGGCACGAAAGCGUGGGUAGCAAACAGG
rnacentral:rRNA from 1 species